rnacentral:rRNA from 1 species
GACGAACGCUGGCGGCGUGCUUAACACAUGCAAGUCGAACGGUAAGGCCCUUCGGGGUACACGAGUGGCGAACGGGUGAGUAACACGUGGGUGAUCUGCCCUGCACUUCGGGAUAAGCCUGGGAAACUGGGUCUAAUACCGGAUAGGACCACUGCCUGCAUGGGUGGUGGGGGAAAGCUUUUGCGGUGUGGGAUGGGCCCGCGGCCUAUCAGCUUGUUGGUGGGGUGAUGGCCUACCAAGGCGACGACGGGUAGCCGGCCUGAGAGGGUGACCGGCCACACUGGGACUGAGAUACGGCCCAGACUCCUACGGAGGCAGCAGUGGGGAAUAUUGCACAAUGGGCGCAAGCCUGAUGCAGCGACGCCGCGUGAGGGAUGACGGCCUUCGGGUUGUAAACCUCUUUCAGCACCGACGAAGCGCAAGUGACGGUAGGUGCAGAAGAAGGACCGGCCAACUACGUGCCAGCCGCCGCAGUAA